UUUGUAGCGUAUCCCGCUUCCUAAUGAUGUUUUCAAAGUCUUUUACUUUUCUCGAGUUAUUUCUAAUUAUAUUAUGUGUAGAUGCCACUAGGGACAAUCAUUAUUUUGCACCAACUAAGAGUAAUAACUAUUUAAAAAGUUGUAAGGGAAAUAGGUGUACCCAUUCCCGCAAGUUUUGUGCCGAAAUUGAUGGUUUUUAUUACUCCCUCUCUACUACCAGAAGGUCGAACUUAAUUUGCGUGUCUGUAGCCCCAAAUGAAGGUACUGAAACUUGUUAUGGAUUCUCUAGCCUUCAGCAGUGUUCAAAGUUGGCAGUUAAUAGAGAAAAUUUUGGAGGCUACAGACUAACAUCCGUUAAUGGGAUUGAAAAUGAGUCAUUGAAGGAAAAAUUGCUUGAUUAUGAUAUACCCCUAAACAGCGCUGUAUGUUGGAAAGUAAAUGCAUCACCCUAUAAAGGACGAUAUAUCCAAGCAGUAAUGGAUGCAGCUGCGCAGACUGCCUCUUGCUUGACAGAUAUAACCGAUGUGUUACAUUGCAGAUCUUUUUCAACGAGUAAAGAAUGUGAAUGUAGUUUAAACGAAAUUCUGUUUUUAAGGGAAUAUAAUAAUAUACUAUUAAAAAGCUGUUCGUCUGAACACCAAACUGCAGAAAGUUGGUGUCCAGGAGUCACUUUAUAUUUAAGUAAUUAUAUUCAGUACUCCACUAAAGAAAUUACAGCAGAUACCGAAAAUUCUAAUAUUAAGUUAUCUAAAAUAAGAUUGAAUAACUGUACAAGUGAUAAUGGGGUCUUCGGAGAACAAUAUUAAAUUGCUUAUAAAACAAA